rnacentral:rRNA from 1 species
AUUGAACGCUGGCGGCAGGCCUAACACAUGCAAGUCGAGCGGAUGAAGGGAGCUUGCUCCUGGAUUCAGCGGCGGACGGGUGAGUAAUGCCUAGGAAUCUGCCUGGUUGUGGGGGAUAACGUCCGGAAACGGGCGCUAAUACCGCAUAAGUCCUGAGGGAGAAAGUGGGGGAUCUUCGGACCUUACGCUAUCAGAUGAGCCUAGGUCGGAUUAGCUAGUUGGUGGGGUAAAGGCCUACCAAGGCGACGAUCCGUAACUGGUCUGAGAGGAUGAUCAGUCACACUGGAACUGAGACACGGUCCAGACUCCUACGGGAGGCAGCAGUGGGGAAUAUUGGACAAUGGGCGAAAGCCUGAUCCAGCCAUGCCGCGUGUGUGAAGAAGGUCUUCGGAUUGUAAAGCACUUUAAGUUGGGAGGAAGAGCAGUAAGUUAAUACCUUGCUGUUUUGACGUUACCAACAGAAUAAGCACCGGCUAACUUCGUG